UAUAAUUGUGUUUUGUUUUUGAAUUAUGUCAAUUUCCCUAUUUACAUUUGCAAAAUUUUAGAAGAUACUUGUUAAAAUUAAAUAGCUAGUCUGAAAACAACCCCCCUGUCCCAUUUUUUAUAAAUCGAUUCACACAGGAUCUAACAUGCACACUGGUGAAUAUAUAUCAAACAAAUUUAUUAAAGUAAUUGAAGAAGUAGGAAUUUUAAAAAUCAACACCAUAAUAACUGACAAUGCAAGCAAUAUGAAAAAAGCAAGGGCCCUUGUAAAACUGAAAUACCCAACUAUUGAAUGCAUUGGAUGUGCCGCUCAUGGAUUAAAUCUACUUGUAAAGGACAUAGCAAAUAAGAUAUUAUCCAUUCAAAUUUUAGUCACAAAAGCUAAAAAUAUUUAAAAUCUAACAAUAUUCUUUUAUCAACGUUAAAAGAAAAACAACUAAGAAAUAAUAAUAAAAUUGUUUCCCUAAAGUUGCCUAACCCAACUCGUUGGGCAGGUAUAGUUUUGAUGAUAAAUAGCUUGUUAAAAAAUAAAGAUAUUUUACAGGAAAUGGCUAUUCUUGAUAUAUUUACUGAUCGAGAUAAGAGACUUACUCUUCUUGAUAAUGAUGGGUUUUUAAAUGAUCUAAUGCAACUAUAUAAUUUUAUUAAAGUCAUAUUUACGCAAAUAGAGAUAGUGGAAGGAGAUAAAGCCAAUUUAUCUGAUGUCCCUCAAGCAUUUAUUCAUAUCAGGGAGACAUUUAACGCUUAUAAAACAAUAUCAAAUAUAUUGUCGCAGAGCGAGAUUUUAGAAAUAGAGCAGUUUAUCAAAAGCCAAAAAAUUUUUUGUUGUCGGGACAUUCAUUAUGCUGCUCAUAUAUUUGACCCAAGGUUUUGUGGAUUUAAUUUAAGAGACAAUGAAGUUGCAAAGGGGUUGGAUAUUAUUAACCGAUUUUCUGGAUAUCUAGAUUUAAAAAUUGCAAGAGUAGUAGGAAACCUAUCCAAAUAUCGUGCAAGGGAAGAUUUUUUUUAAUAUAGCAAGUCUUUGGCAAGGCGCAUCAUUUACAGAUCCAGUGAGUUGGUGGAAAGGUCUAUGUUGCAAUCAAUACAUAUCGACCCUAGCCAUACAAAUUUUAUCAAUACCACCAACAAGUGCAGCAUCCGAAAGAAUAUGGUCCUCCUUUGGAAAUAUUCAUUCUAAAUCUAGAAAUAGAUUAAAAAAUGACAAAGUUCGCAAAUUAGUUUAUAUAAGUCUACAUUUUAUGGGAAAGGAAAUUUCAGAAAAUGACAAAUUGCUGGAUUCCAGAAUUUCAAGCUCUGAUCUGGAAUCAUUUUCAUCUUCAAACGAAGAUAAUUAACUAUUCAAAAUUAAUUGUUUAAAUAUUAUUUAGUCUAUAUAUAAUAUUUCAAAUAAAACAUGUAAAGU